rnacentral:pre_miRNA from 1 species
AGACUUAGCACCAAUCUGUAACUAUAGUAUAAUUGCAGUUACAUAUUUCUGUUAGGUUCUU